AGGGGCAUGAUGUAAUGGUAACAUAGCGGUCUCCAAAACCGUUCUUGAGGGUUCGAAUCCUUCUGCCCCUGCCA
rnacentral:tRNA from 1 species